rnacentral:rRNA from 1 species
GGGUCAGUAGGUUGGUCGUGCCACCGGUACGUACUGGUCUCACUGAUUCCUCCUUCCCGAAGAACCGUAAUGCCAUUAAUUUGGUGUUGCGGGGAAACAGGACUGUUACUUUGAAAAAAUUAGAGUGUUUAAAGCAAGCUAACGCUUGAAUACAUUAGCAUGGAACAAUGAAAUAGGACGAUCGAUCCUAUUUGUUGGUUUCUAGGAUUGACGUA